rnacentral:rRNA from 1 species
GAUGAACGCUGGCGGCGUGCCUAAUACAUGCAAGUCGAGCGAACAGACGAGGAGCUUGCUCCUCUGACGUUAGCGGCGGACGGGUGAGUAACACGUGGAUAACCUACCUAUAAGACUGGGAUAACUUCGGGAAACCGGAGCUAAUACCGGAUAACAUGUUGAACCGCAUGGUUCAACAGUGAAAGACGGUCUUGCUGUCACUUAUAGAUGGAUCCGCGCCGCAUUAGCUAGUUGGUAAGGUAACGGCUUACCAAGGCAACGAUGCGUAGCCGACCUGAGAGGGUGAUCGGCCACACUGGAACUGAGACACGGUCCAGACUCCUACGGGAGGCAGCAGUAGGGAAUCCUCCGCAAUGGGCGAAAGCCUGACGGAGCAACGCCGCGUGAGUGAUGAAGGUCUUCGGAUCGUAAAACUCUGUUAUUAGGGAAGAACAAAUGUGUAAGUAACUAUGCACGUCUUGACGGUACCUAAUCAGAAAGCCACGGCUAACUACGUG